rnacentral:sRNA from 1 species
GCCUGACAUACGCUGGCGUAUGCUACAGAGGUCUCUCCUCAUUCCUGACUUUCUUGACAGGUGUCAGAGUGAUAUCGACGAGUGCUCUGGAAACCCCUGCCUGCACGGGGCCCUCUGUGAGAACACGCACGGCUCCUAUCACUGCAACUGCAGCCACGAGUACAGGGGACGUCACUGCGAGGAUGCUGCGCCCAACCAGUAUGUGUCCACGCCGUGGAACAUUGGGUUGGCGGAAGGAAUUGGAAUCGUUGUGUUUGUUGCAGGGAUAUUUUUACUGGUGGUGGUGUUUGUUCUCUGCCGUAAGAUGAUUAGUCGGAAAAAGAAGCAUCAGGCUGAACCUGAAGACAAGCACCUGGGACCCGCUACGGCUUUCUUGCAAAGACCAUAUUUUGAUUCCAAGCUAAAUAAGAACAUUUACUCAGACAUACCACCCCAGGUGCCUGUCCGGCCUAUUUCCUACACCCCGAGUAUUCCAAGUGACUCAAGAAACAAUCUGGACCGAAAUUCCUUCGAAGGAUCUGCUAUCCCAGAGCAUCCCGAAUUCAGCACUUUUAACCCCGAGUCUGUGCACGGGCACCGAAAAGCAGUGGCGGUCUGCAGCGUGGCGCCAAACCUGCCUCCCCCACCCCCUUCAAACUCCCCUUCUGACAGCGACUCCAUCCAGAAGCCUAGCUGGGACUUUGACUAUGACGCAAAAGUGGUGGAUCUCGAUCCCUGUCUUUCCAAGAACCCUCUAGAGGAAAAACCUUCCCAGCCACACAGUGCCCGGGAAAGCCUGUCUGAAGUGCAGUCCCUGAGCUCCUUCCAGUCCGAAUCGUGCGACGACAAUGGGUAUCACUGGGAUACAUCAGAUUGGAUGCCAAGCGUUCCUCUGCCGGACAUACAAGAGUUCCCCAACUAUGAGGUGAUUGAUGAGCAGACACCCCUGUACUCAGCAGAUCCAAACGCCAUCGAUACGGACUAUUACCCUGGAGGCUACGACAUCGAAAGUGAUUUUCCUCCACCCCCAGAAGACUUCCCCGCAGCUGAUGAGCUACCACCGUUACCGCCCGAAUUCAGCGAUCAGUUUGAAUCCAUCCACCCUCCUAGAGACAUGCCUGCUGCGGGUAGCUUGGGUUCUUCAUCAAGAAACCGGCAGAGGUUCAACUUGAAUCAGUAUUUGCCCAAUUUUUAUCCACUCGAUAUGUCUGAACCUCAAACAAAAGGCACUGGUGAGAAUAGUACUUGUAGAGAAUCCCAUGCCCCUUACCCGCCAGGGUAUCAAAGACACUUCGAGGCGCCCGCUGUCGAGAGCAUGCCCAUGUCUGUGUACGCCUCCACGGCCUCCUGCUCCGACGUGUCAGCCUGCUGUGAAGUGGAGUCCGAGGUCAUGAUGAGUGACUAUGAGAGCGGGGACGACGGCCACUUCGAAGAGGUGACGAUCCCGCCCCUGGAUUCCCAGCAGCACACGGAAGUCUGACUCUCAACUCCCCCCAAAGUGCCUGACUUUAGUGAACCUAGAGAUGAUACGAGUAAUCCGCGUUGUUCUUUGCAGCAGUGCUUCCAAGCUUUUUUUGGUGAGCCGAAUGGGCAUGGCUGCGCUGGAUCCUGCACCUCUGGACGUGCUAGCCAUUUCCAGUGUCCCAACUACUGUCAUCGUGAGGUUUUCAUCGGCUGUGCCAUUUCCCAACGUCUUUUGGGAUUUACAUCUGUCUGUGUUAAAAUAAUCAAACGAAAAAUCAGUCCUGUGUUGUCAGCAUGAUUCAUGUAUUUAUAUAGAUUUGAUUAUUUUAAUUUUCCUGUCUCUUUUUUUUGUAAAUUUUAUGUACAGAUUUGAUUUUUCAUAGUUUUAACUAGAUUUCCAAGAUAUUUUGUGCAUUUGUUUCAACUGAAUUUUGGUGGUGUUAGUGCCAUUAUCUAGCACCCUGAUUUUUUUUUUUUUUUUUUUUUUACUAUAACCAGGGUUUCACUCUGUCUUUUUCCACUGAAGUGUGACAUUUUGUUAGUGCAUUUCAGUGUAGUCAUUCAUUUCUAGCUGUACAUAGGAUGAAGGAGAGAUCAGAUACAUGAACAUGUCUUACAUGGGUUGCUGUAUUUAGAAUUAUAAACAUUUUUCAUUAUUGGAAAGUGUAACGGGGACCUUCUGCAUACCUGUUUAGAACCAAAACCACCAUGACACAGUUUUUAUAGUGUCUGUAUAUUUGUGAUGCAAUGGUCUUGUAAAGGUUUUUAAUGAAAACUACCAUUAGCCAGU